rnacentral:misc_RNA from 1 species
GCAAACUUGGUCAUUUAGAGGAAGUAAAAGUCGUAACAAGGUUUCCGUAGGUGAACCUGCGGAAGGAUCAUUACCGAGUUAGGGUCCCCUAAACGGGCCCGACCUCCCAACCCUUUGCUUACCACACCGUGUGUUGCUUCGGCGGGCCCGUCUCACGACCGCCGGAGGGCCGUAAAACGUCCUCUGGCCCGUCGCCCGCCGAUGGCCCAUACCCACAAACUCUGAACUAAGCGUGUCUUUGUCUGAGUAAUGAUAACCAAAUCAAAAACAAAACUUUCAACAACGGAUCUCUUGGUUCUGGCAUCGAUGAAGAACGCAGC